rnacentral:rRNA from 1 species
CCUACGGGAGGCAGCAGUGGGGAAUAUUGCACAAUGGGGGAAACCCUGAUGCAGCGACGCCGCGUGAGUGAAGAAGUAUUUCGGUACGUAAAGCUCUAUCAGCAGGGAAGAAAAUGACGGUACCUGACUAAUAAGCCACGGCUAACUACGUUCCAGCAGCCGCGGUAAUACGUAGGGGGCAAGCGUUAUCCGGAUUUACUGGGUGUAAAGGGAGCGUAGACGGCAGCGCAAGUCUGAAGUGAAAUCCCAUGGCUUAACCAUGGAACUGCUUUGGAAACUGUGCAGCUAGAGUGCAGGAGAGGUAAGCGGAAUUCCUGGUGUAGCGGUGAAAUGCGUAGAUAUUAGGAGGAACACCAGUGGCGAAGGCGGCUUACUGGACUGUAACUGACGUUGAGGCUCGAAAGCGUGGGGAGCAAACAGGAUUAGAUACCCCAGUAGUC